GGCCUCGUAGUUUAGCUGGUAUAGCGUGCGCUGUACAAAAGCUUAGGUGGCGUCCCUGCGUGGGUUCGAAUCCCACCGAGGCUA
rnacentral:tRNA from 1 species